rnacentral:rRNA from 1 species
CAGAGACUGCAAGCGUUAUUCGGAUUCACUGGGCGUAAAGGGUGCGCAGGCGGUUGGGUGUGUCAGAUGUGAAAUCCCGAGGCUUAACCUCGGAACUGCGUCUGAAACUACUCGACUAGAGUACUGGAGAGGGUAACGGAAUUCACGGUGUAGCAGUGAAAUGCGUAGAUAUCGUGAGGAACACCAGAGGCGAAGGCGGUUACCUGGACAGUUUACUGACGCUCAGGCACGAAAGCAUGGGGAGCAAAAGGGAUUAGAUACCCCUGUAGUCCAUGCCCUAAACGGUGCACACUAGGUCUUAGCGGAUUCGACCCCACUAGGGCCCAAGCUAACGCGUUAAGUGUGCCGCCUGAGGACUACGGUCGCAAGACUA